GUGACCUACCUUCGAGUGGGGGAUAACGUCUCGAAAGGGACGCUAAUACCGCAUGACAUCCUGCCUUUGGACAGGCGGAGAUCAAAGCCGGGGAUCGCAAGACCUGGCGCUUGGAGAGGGGCCCGCGUCCGAUUAGCUAGUUGGUGAGGUAACGGCUCACCAAGGCUUCGAUCGGUAGCCGGCCUGAGAGGGCGGACGGCCACACUGGGACUGAGACACGGCCCAGACUCCUACGGGAGGCAGCAGUGGGGAAUUGUUCGCAAUGGGCGCAAGCCUGACGACGCAACGCCGCGUGGAGGAUGAAGGUCUUCGGAUUGUAAACUCCUGUUGAUCGGGACGAACAUCCAUCGGGAUAACACCCCGGUGGACUGACGGUACCGGUUGAGGAAGCCCCGGCUAACUCUGUGCCAGCAGCCGCGGUAAUACAGAGGGGGCAAGCGUUGUUCGGAAUUACUGGGCGUAAAGGGCGCGUAGGCGGCCACCUAAGUCAGACGUGAAAUCCCUCGGCUCAACCGGGGAACUGCGUCUGAUACUGGGUGGCUUGAAUUCGGGAGAGGAAUGCGGAAUUCCAGGUGUAGCGGUGAAAUGCGUAGAUAUCUGGAGGAACACCGGUGGCGAAGGCGGCAUUCUGGACCGACAUUGACGCUGAGGCACGAAAGCCAGGGGAGCAAACGGGAUUAGAUACCCCGGUAGUCCUGGCCCUAAACGAUGAAUGCUUGGNGUGGCGGGUAUCGAUCCCUGCCGUGCCGAAGCUAACGCAUUAAGCAUUCCGCCUGGGGAGUACGGUCGCAAGGCUGAAACUCAA
rnacentral:rRNA from 1 species